GUGAGGAAUUUUCCGCAAUGGGCGAAAGCCUGACGGAGCAAUGCCGCGUGAAGGAUGAAGGCCUAUGGGUUGUAAACUUCUUUUCUCAGAAAAGAAUUAUGACGGUAUCUGAGGAAUAAGCAUCGGCUAACUCUGUGCCAGCAGCCGCGGUAAGACAGAGGAUGCAAGCGUUAUCCGGAAUGAUUGGGCGUAAAGCGUCUGUAGGUUGUUUAAAAAGUAUUCUGUCAAAGAUUAGGGCUUAACCCCAGAUAGGCAGAAUAAACUUUUAAGCUAGAGUUUGGUAGAGGCAGAGGGAAUUCCCGGUGGAGCGGUGAAAUGCGUAGAUAUCGGGAGGAACACCAAAGGCGAAGGCACUCUGCUGGGCCAAUACUAACACUGAGAGACGAAAGCGAGGGGAGCAAAUGGGAUUAGAUACCCUGGUAGUCC
rnacentral:rRNA from 1 species